rnacentral:lncRNA from 1 species
UUCCUAUUUACUAUUUUAACUUUUUACUUAGGACAAUGACACUGGCACUUGAGGAAACUGAAGCUCCCAAGAUAUGCUUUGCUGGGGGAACAGGUACUCCUACGUGGGAAGCUCUUUUCUAAUCCCUGAAAGCAAUCUAUUUAUACCCUGAAAUCCGAGUCUUUUAGGAAAUGUAUCAUUAUUAUAGCUUGCAUAACUACAAUUAUGUCAGCGAACUAUUCGUCCUGCCUAGAGUCAUCUAAACCAUGUUCUGAGGCCUCCAUGACAGGCGGCGUUGGCAGCUGUAUUCUCUCUUCAUUAGCUGCGCUCUGACUUCCCUGUGGUCCUCUGAGUGGCCUCUUUGUUCCAGGCUUGUGCAACUGGAUAACAAAGGGGGGUGCUUACUGCUCACUUUACCUCUGGAAGACGGUGAAUACUGCCUUUCAAGCCUUGGAUUCAUUUCCUCUCCUGGAUCUAACGCUGGGCGAGACAACCACAGCUCCAGACAGCGUCAGGUGGAGCCAGCAGCAAGGCGCUAGCCCUCGGCACAUCUCUGCAUAGGGACCAUGUGCCUCAGAGAAGCUCAGAACUGGAGGGGUCUUCGGGAGGACUGCUUCUAGCCCACCCCAUCACCGCACGUGUAGGGGAAGGGACAUGCCUGGUCUCGCAGCCAGCUGGAGGCAGGACAGAGAGUAGGACCGAGGCGCCCUUCCCCAGCUCAAGGCUUCCUGCCGAUCACCAUGCUACCCACCUUCUCAUUUUAGUAUAUGUGUCACAAGGAACCAUUCAUAGCAGAAACAUAGAAAAGAAGAAAAGCACCAAAAGAAGAGAAAAUGUCACUUGUAACCCUA